rnacentral:rRNA from 1 species
AGGACGAACGGCUGGCGGCGUGCCUAAUACAUGCAAGUCGAACGGUCUUUCUAUGGAAGCUUGCUUCCACUGAGAAGAUAGUGGCGAACGGGUGAGUAACACGUGGGGUAACCUGCCCAUAAGAGGGGGAUAACAUCCGGAAACGGGUGCUAAUACCGCAUAGUUUUCUUGAUCGCAUGAUUGAGAAAGGAAAGACGGCCUUUGUGCUGUCGCUUAUGGAUGGACCCGCGGCGUAUUAGUUAGUUGGUGAGGUAACGGCUCACCAAGACGAUGAUACGUAGCCGACCUGAGAGGGUGAUCGGCCACAUUGGGACUGAGACACGGCCCAAACUCCUACGGGAGGCAGCAGUAGGGAAUCUUCCGCAAUGGACGAAAGUCUGACGGAGCAACGCCGCGUGAGUGAAAGAAGGUUUUCGGAUCGUAAAACUCUGUUGUCAGAGAAGAACAAGUUGGAGAGUAACUGCUCCAGCCUUGACGGUAUCUGACCAGAAAGCCACGGCUAACUACGUGCCAGCCGCGGC